rnacentral:rRNA from 1 species
AGAGUUUGAUCAUGGCUCAGGACGAACGCUGGCGGCGUGCUUAACACAUGCAAGUCGAACGAUGAACCGGAGCUUGCUCCGGGGAUUAGUGGCGAACGGGUGAGUAACACGUGGGCAACCUGCCCCAGACAUCGGGAUAACCAUUCGAAAGGAUGGCUAAUACCGGAUAUGACCACUUCGGGCAUCCGAUGGUGGUGGAAAGGAUUCUGGUCUGGGAUGGGCCCGCGGCCUAUCAGCUAGUUGGUGGGGUAAUGGCCUACCAAGGCGACGACGGGUAGCCGGCCUGAGAGGGCGACCGGCCACACUGGGACUGAGACACGGCCCAGACUCCUACGGGAGGCAGCAGUGGGGAAUAUUGCGCAAUGGGCGAAAGCCUGACGCAGCGACGCCGCGUGAGGGACGAAGGUCUUCGGAUUGUAACCUCUUUCAGCAGGGACGAAGCGAAAGUGACUGUACCUGCAGAAGAAGCACCGGCUAACUACGUG